rnacentral:rRNA from 1 species
AUUGAACGCUGGCGGCAGGCCUAACACAUGCAAGUCGAGCGGAUGAAGGGAGCUUGCUCCUGGAUUCAGCGGCGGACGGGUGAGUAAUGCCUAGGAAUCUGCCUGGUAGUGGGGGAUAACGUCCGGAAACGGGCGCUAAUACCGCAUACGUCCUGAGGGAGAAAGUGGGGGAUCUUCGGACCUCACGCUAUCAGAUGAGCCUAGGUCGGAUUAGCUAGUUGGUGAGGUAAAGGCCUACCAAGGCGACGAUCCGUAACUGGGCUGAGAGGAUGAUCAGUCACACUGGAACUGAGACACGGUCCAGACUCCUACGGGAGGCAGCAGUGGGGAAUAUUGGACAAUGGGCGAAAGCCUGACCCAGCAAUGCCGCGUGAGUGAAGAAGGUCUUCGGAUUGUAAAGCUCUUUAAGUUGGGAGGAAGGGAAGUAAGUUAAAACCUUGCUGUUUUGACGUUACCAACAGAAUAAGCAACGGCUAACUUCGUG